AUGUUUUUAUUUGUUGUUUUAGAAAAAAUAGUUAAAAGGGCAGCCAAAGAAAGGAGAAGUAAAGAAGACAGAGUUCUUAAAGAGAUACAGGAGUCUACAAAGAAAGAAAAACUGGUUGAGAAGAAAGCUGAAAAGGAGGAGACAGUUAAAGUAGAGCCUUCCUACGACGGUUUUCUUAUGGACGAUGAGCUCCCCUACUUCCAGUGUUUCUUUGUGGACGAGGACGAGGCCCAGUUCCCAUUUUACGCCUUCUCGCCGCUGCAGAUUUGACACUUCAGUCUGAAUCCAGUCUGAGAGUUACAAUUUAGUCAAUUUACUGAUAAUGACGAGGUCACGUCGCGCCCUGUGCUGCUGAGACACAGCCGUUGCUUGUCACCGUGCAGCAAAGGAUGAUGGGUGAUUUUAUGCGGUGGACCGUUAUCUUAUUUCCAGAUUUGGUUGAGCUCUCGUACCAAAAUACAGUGAGAGCUCCCAAACUUACUGGUGGGACUGAAAACUGAAAAUGUUGACACGUUUAAAGUCUUAUUAAAAACCGAACCAUCUGGAUGUCUGCACCGGCUCCUCAGUUUAAUAUUGGUGCUAUUAAGGUGCCUGAACUCUCAGAAUGAGCUGUGCGAGUUCAGUUUUGUUUAUUUUUAAGAGUUUCUACCAUCAAGUAUCUUGAUUGACCAAGAACACACACUAUCAGUGUUUUAUGUGCACACAGUGUAGAAACUUGACGUAUUUUGGAAACUUUUUAAGCAGGUUCUUAUGAAAACGAAAGUAAAAAAAUAACAUGCUGUGGGUGCAUGUGUAUAGAGUCAGUUUAAAUGCCCUGUAAUACAAGCAGGGUUUCUGUUAUCUGACUGUUUUACCUAAAUGACUGUCAUUGGUCUGACUGAUAUCAAAUCUACAAAAGAAGACCUGUUGACUUAACAUGGUGGAGUUUAUAAUGUUGAAGCAUCUUCAAGUGUGGAUGAGAUACAUACAUAUAGCUCAUUACAUUUUGCUCCAUGUGUUGUAUAUAAGAUGCAGCUGAUGCUGCUCCAUCACUGUCUCAAAAUUUUGAUUCACGAAAACAAAUGAUAAAUAUUUGUUUUAAUCCGAAUCGUGCAAUACUUAGUCUCAGUGAUCAUGCUAUGAUACUGUAUGUUUGAAUGAACUGUGCAUGAUGUGUGUGUGUGUGUGUUUUAUGCUCUCCCAUGUCCCUUUGAACACAUUAAUUAGGGUAUUUAAUACCAAAACAACAUGUCUCUUGGUGUUACCUAAUGUCAUCGAACGAACCAUGCUGUACAUAGUUAAUGGAAAGACUGCAGUUUACUCCUGUACCACAGUAACUUCACCUUCUGUAACAUUUGUCAUUUACAUCUUCAUGCUUGUGAAUAGUAGCAAUUUGACAUUAAAAAAUAAAUAGCAGUGCACGUGUUGUUUUGUAGUCA
rnacentral:lncRNA from 1 species